AAUUAUCAUAUUAAAUCAUAGUAUAACAUUUUGUUUAAUAAAUUACACUUAUCUGAGAGUAAUGGUUAUGAUAAAUAAUUUAAUAUGCUGUUUAUUUAAUGUAUUUGUUAUUAUUCAUCUGUUUGAUUCCCUUCUCAUUUGCUGGUGUAGUUUGUGCUAUCAUGUAGUUACUCUUCUGGAGAGAACAUGACACGGAUGCACACUGUUAUUCUGUCCACUUCCUGUCAGCUGCUAGACACCUUUAGAAGCAGCUAGGCCGAGACGCUCCUCACAUUCUACUGCAAGAAAAGUAUAAAAACAGUGUUUGUUGUCUGUUGCAUACAGUAAUGUGACCAUACUGCCUACAACAUUCUUAAAACCAAGAUGAAAUCAAAGUUGAAGUUUCAUGUUAGUCCAUGUUCCAAGGACCAGAUUCCUCGAUCUCAUUGGCUAAAGAGUGUGUCACUCAAGGCUGCAGUGUGCACAUCUUUGUGUUCUCCCAUCAGGAAGUAGGCGGGGCUUUGCCAGGGCACAUCCCCUUUCUCACAGGGGGUGGUAUCAUCUGCUAUAACAGACUACAGUGUAUUCACUAGCACUGGAGAGUCCGCUGCAGUCCCUGCGUGAGGAGUUACAGACAGAGGUUACUGAGAUGUUGUCUUGCUUCAGGAAACACCGCUGCAUUGCCUCUGUGUCCCCAGGACAGCUGGUGUUGCCUCAGUUUCUGAGAGUCCUACCUGUCUACGUUUACAGUUUUCGCAAAAGUGAAGUGCUGCUGCCUGGUCCGCGGAGCUCUGUACAUCAGCAUCUAAGACUGCGUGGCCUCAUUGUCUCCAUGGACACGCUGAGCACUGCUUCCCAGUUCUACCCACUUAUUCUGCCUCUGGUGAGAGACAGACAUCUAGAACAUUCUGUUCAUCCAAAUUAGUCACUGAAAUGAGACAGUUUCCUUGUCUGUAAGAAUUUGUAAUUCUCUGUUGGAUUGUUAUACACAUGGCUGGAUUUAGAGAUGCCACAUUCUUCACUACUCUAGCAAUAAAUGCAUUUACU